rnacentral:rRNA from 1 species
CAAAUCUUAGCGGUGGAUCACUCGGUUCGUGGAUCGAUGAAGAACGCAGCUAGCUGCGAUAAAUAGUGCGAAUUGCAAACACAUUGAGCACUAAAAAUUCGAACGCAC